ACCCGAGUGGUGAAAUGGUAGACACGCUGGUCUUAGGAACCAGUGCCACAGGCGUGAAGGUUCGAAUCCUUUCUCGGGUACAA
rnacentral:tRNA from 1 species